CGAGGACGAACGCUGGCGGCGUGCCUAACACAUGCAAGUCGAGCGGGGACAUGCGACGGAUAGGAAGUUUCGGAUGGACUUGAAGAUGCAUGUUCUAGCGGCGGACGGGUGAGUAACGCGUGAGCAACCUGUCCCUUACAGGGGGAUAACACAGCGAAAGUUGUACUAAUACCGCAUAAGACCACGGGAGGACAUCCUUCAGGGGUCAAAGGAGGAAUCCGGUAAGGGUGGGCUCGCGUCCGAUUAGAUAGUUGGUGAGGUAACGGCCCACCAAGUCGACGAUCGGUAGCCGACCUGAGAGGGUGAUCGGCCACAUUGGGACUGAGACACGGCCCAAACUCCUACGGGAGGCAGCAGUGGGGAAUAUUGGGCAAUGGGGGAAACCCUGACCCAGCAACGCCGCGUGAGGGAAGAAGGUUUUCGGAUCGUAAACCUCUGUCCUUGGUGAAGAGGAAGAGACGGUAGCCAAGGAGGAAGCCCCGGCUAACUACGUGCCAGCCGCCGC
rnacentral:rRNA from 1 species